UGUCUGUAAACUGUAACUAGCCUGGGGAGAGACAUGUUGUCUGUAACCUGUAACUAGCCUAGGGAGAGACAUGUUGUCUGUAAACUGUAACUAGCCUGGGGAGAGACAUGUUGUCUGUAACCUGUAUCUAGCCUAGGGAGAGACAUGUUGUCUGUAACCUGUAACUAGCCUGGGGAGAGACAUGUUGUCUGUAACCUGUAACUAGCCUGGGGAGAGACAUGUUGUCUGUAACCUGUAACUAGCCUAGGGAGAGACAUGUUGUCUGUAACCUGUAUCUAGCCUAGGGAGAGACAUGUUGUCUGUAACCUGUAACUAGCCUGGGGAGGGACAUGUUGUCUGUAACCUGUAACUAGCCUAGGGAGAGACAUGUUGUCUGUAACCUGUAACUAGCCUAGGGAGAGACAUGUUGUCUGUAACCUGUAACUAGCCUAGGGAGAGACAUGUUGUCUGUAACCUGUAACUAGCCUAGGGAGAGACAUGUUGUCUGUAACCUGUAACUAGCCUGGGGAGAGACAUGUUGUCUGUAACCUGUAACUAGCCUAGGGAGAGACAUGUUGUCUGUAACCUGUAACUAGCCUGGGGAGAGACAUGUUGUCUGUAACCUGUAACUAGCCUGGGGAGAGACAUGUUGUCUGUAACCUGUAACUAGCCUGGGGAGAGACAUGUUGUCUGUAACCUGUAACUAGCCUAGGGAGAGACCUGGCUGGCUUGCUUUAUUUAAAUGAAUGUAAUACACAUUGUUAUAUCCUUCUGGUUAAAUCCCAAAUGGCACCCUAUUCCCUACAUAGUGCACUACUUUUGACCAGGUCCCAUAGUGCUCUGUUCAAAAGUAGUGCACUUUAUAGGGAAUAGGGUGCCAUUUGGGCCAAAUAUAGGAUAAUUUGACUGUAGCCUUCUGCGUUGAGCAGAGACAACUUUUUCCUUGUUGGCACUUUAUCUGUUGGUUAGUAGGUGUUAUUAUAUUAUUGAACCUCUGGAGCCAUACGCUAUUGGGUUAGUCAGGCUGAUCAGCAAGUCUCAAUAAGGUGUUGGGAUCAACAAGUCUCAAUAAGGUGUUGGGAUCAACAAGUCUCAAUAAGGUGUUGGGUUAGUCAGACUGAUCAGCAAGUCUCAAUAAGGUGUUGGGUUAGUCAGGCUGAUCAACAAGUCUCAAUAAGGUGUUGGGUUAGUCAGACUGAUCAGAAAGUCUCAAUAAGGUGUUGGGAUCAACAAGUCUCAAUAAGGUGUUGGGAUCAACAAGUCUCAAUAAGGUGUUGGGUUAGUCAGACUGAUCAGCAAGUCUCAAUAAGGUGUUGGGUUAGUCAGGCUGAUCAACAAGUCUCAAUAAGGUGUUGGGUUAGUCAGACUGAUCAGCAAGUCUCAAUAAGGUGUUGGGUUAGUCAGGCUGAUCAGAAAGUCUCAAGCCUCAAACACCUUAGUAAUAUAUUCUGUCCAUGGACUCAUGUUACUCAUUUUCACUGGGGGGUGCGUCCCAAAUGUCAACUCAUUCUACAUUUGACCAGGGCCCAUAUGGGGGAAUAGGAAGUCAUUAAUGACCAGGGCCCAUAUGGGGGAAUAGGAAGUCAUUAAUGACCAGGGCCCAUAUGGGGGAAUAGGAAGUCAUUAAUGACCAGGGCCCAUAUGGGGGAAUAGUGUGUUCUCAGAAGGUGAAGCCAGUAGUGGCCUACUGGGCCGAGGCUUUGAUGUUGCUUUCCUGUGGCGUUACUUCUUUAUUUUAUCCUUGGUGGGGUUUAUUUUAUGUAAAUCAAGGAGACGUGCUUUUGAUUUGUCUGUUGAGUGUAAGGGGUUGUCCCAAAUGUCACCCUAUUCCCUAUGUAGUGCAUUACUAUGGGCCCUAUUCCCUAUGUAGUGCGCUACUAUGGGCCCUAUUCCCUAUGUAGUGCGCUACUAUGGGCCCUAUUCCCUAUGUAGUGCGCUACUAUGGGCCCUAUUCCCUAUGUAGUGCGCUACUAUGGGCCCUAUUCCCAAUGUAGUGCGCUACUAUGGGCCCUAUUCCCUAUGUAGUGCGCUACUAUGGGCCCUAUUCCCUAUGUAGUGCGCCACUAUGGGCCCUAUUCCCUAUGUAGUGCGCCACUAUGGGCCCUAUUCCCUAUGUAGUGCGCUACUGUGGGCCCUAUUCCCUAUGUAGUGCUCUACUAUGGGCCCUAUUCCCUAUGUAGUGCUCUACUAUGGGCCCUAUUCCCUAUGUAGUGCUCUACUAUGGGCCCUAUUCCCUAUGUAGUGCACUAUAAAUGGAAUAAGGUGCCAUUAGGGAGACAAGCCAUCUCAGAACAUACGCUGUUAAACCAUUGAGUACAUAACUGUGCUGUUACAUAUUUAUAUAAUUUGUAAGUAUGCAUAUUGUAAUUAUUUUAUAUUUGUAUACAUGCACUAGUUUAUAAGUGUGCAUUAUUUUUUCGGGACAUGAAUCAAACUGACGUGUAAAAAAGUUGAAAAAAAUAAAGUACUUUUUUUGUUAACCUGUCUCUGUCUGUUUGUCUGGUCUGUUUGUCUGGUCUGUUUGUCUGGUCUGUUUGUCUGGUCUGUUUGUCUGGUCUGUUUGUCUGGUUUGGUCUGUCUGGUCUGUCUGUCUGGUCUGGUCUGUUUGUCUGGUUUGGUCUGUUUGUCUGGUUUGGUCUGUCUGGUCUGUCUGUCUGGUCUGUCUGUGUCUGGUUUGGUCUGUUUGUCUGGUCUGUCUGUCGAUCUUUGGCCAGGAUUCAAUCCAAGGCACGUUACAGGUCGACACUCUAAACAGCCGACAACGCUCCUCUAAAGGCAAUGUCCCCAGCGUUCACGGAGAUCACAUUCAUG
rnacentral:lncRNA from 1 species